GACGAACGCUGGCGGCGUGCUUAACACAUGCAAGUCGAACGGAAUGUCCCGGCUUUUGUGGGGUGCUUGAGUGGCGAACGGGUGAGUAACACGUGGGUAACCUGCCUUUGACUUUGGGAUAACUUCAGGAAACUGGGGCUAAUACCGGAUAGGAGCGCAGGCUACAUGGUGGGGGAUGGAAAGUUGCGGCGGAUGGGGCAGGACGAGCGGGUUAUCAGCUUCAUGGGGUGGUAGUGGAUUAACAAGGCCUUGACGGGUAGCCGGCCUGGGAGGGUGACAGGGCACAGUGGGACUGAGGUACGGGCCAGAGUGCUACGGGAGGCAGCGGUGGGGGAUAUUGCACGCUGGGCGGAAGCAUGAUGCAGCAACGCCGCGUGCGGGAUGACGGCCGUCGGGUUGGAAACCGCUUUCGCCGGUGACGAAGCGUGAGUGACGGUAAUGGGUAAGGAAGCAACGGCUAACUACGUG
rnacentral:rRNA from 1 species